UAGCAUCUUCAGGGCAGGGUGAGAUUCCCGACCGGCGGUAAAGUCCGCGAGCCUUAGGGCUGACUCGGUGAAAUUCCGAGACCGACAGUACAGUCUGGAUGGAAGAAGAUCUUC
rfam:Adlercreutzia equolifaciens DSM 19450 DNA, complete genome.